UUCUCUUUUAUAUUUUUUAAUUUUACAAAAAUUCAGUUUUAAUUUUACAGCUAAACAAAUAAAUUGUUAAAAAUUUUCCUUGCGUUAACAGUUUUAAAUGUAAAUCUUUUGUUGCAAUAGAGUCAUUUGCAAUUUAUUUCAAACAUACAUUUCAUGUAUUGUCGGUAUAUUUCUUCAUAAAAGGGUAAUUACAUAAAAAGAUAAUUUCUUAUCGAUUUAGUUUCGCUUUCCGAAUCGAUUCGCUCGAAGGAAGAAAGUAAAAACUUUUUAUAAAUGAUUUUUUCGUCUCGGAUUGUGGUGUCAUUAAGCGAAAGAUCGCUUCGACGAAGCGCUUAUCGCGUUUCGCUAUGCGACGACGAUGACGAUGACGACGACGAUGCGGUAGUUGCACGGUUCGAUGCACCGGUGCUUUACGCUACUUCAUUCACUAGCACGAGGUACCACUUUAAGAAAGGAAGACUAGAAUCGCAUGACAAUUUCCUUAUAGAAUGAAUUUUUAUGAAUGUAAAGCGACGUUUCUCAUACUCUAAAGAAAUAUUGCUUCGUUUUCUAUAAUAACAUUUUUGCCUUGUCUCCUACAUAACUAUCGCUAUUCUCCUAUUAUAUCGCUUGUCUCUUACGUUGAAUCGAACUCAUCAAGACUAAUAAUCCUUUUGGUGAUUUCAACAAUGAAAUUAUAGGAAAUGAUACAUAGAUUUUUAUAUAAUUUGAUUUUUAAGACUAUAUUAUUUUAUUAUUAUAAAAAUUUGUUAUAUUGUAUUAUAUAAAUCAAGACUAAUAAUCCUUUGAGUGAUUUCAAAAAUAAAAUUAUAAGAAAGAAUGCAUAAACUUUUAUAUAAUUUGAAUUUUAGAGAAUAUAUUAUUCUAUUAUUAUAAAACUAUUAUUAUAUUAUGUUAUAAAAGUCAAGACUAAUAAAUCUUUUGAUAACUUCAAAAAUGAAAUUGUAGGAAAGAAUACAUACAUUUGUAUAGUGGAUUGUAUAUAUUGGAUUUAAAAAUCUGUUAUUAUUAUUAUUAUUACAAAACUGUGUAAUAUAUAUACAUGUAUCGUGAGAUCUAGGACUAUUCUUCUCGAAUAUAACUAACCAAAUUUUUAAUGUGCGAAACUGUAUAUGUCGACUUUAUAUCGAUAUUUCUUUAUUAUUUAUUGUUUAACUUGCUCAUAAAAAUGUACAUUCUUAAUUUAUA